AUGUUUACUUGUGUUCUUCUAUUAUUGACUGUAACUGAAGGUUACAGAGCUAAAGAAGUCAUCAGUCCGUACAGAGAUGUAACGUUUGCUACUGAAUCUGAGGAUGUGAAUCUGUCUUGUAAAUACACUGGUUCUGUUGAUAGUCUUCACUGGUAUCGUCAAUAUGCUGCUUCACCACCACAGUUUCUUAUACUGGAUUAUAAUGGAGUCAGCACUGAAGCUGUUCCUCCAGUUUCUGGAAUCUCCAUCAAACACAGAAACACAGAGAAGAGUGUUGAUCUGAAGAUCUCUUCUGUUAAAGUCACAGACUCUGAUCUGUAUUACUGCGCCCUGGAGCCCACAGUGACACAAAACACAACAACACUGAACAAAAACAUGACUGAUGAUCCUGAGAGGAUAAGCCUUGUCAAAGAUUGGAAGCGGCCAUCGAGUGUGAAAGAAGUGUUGAAGUUCCUUGGCUUCACAGGGUACUAUAGGCAAUUCAUUGAGGGAUAUGCAUCGCUGGCAUCACCCCUGUAUCAGCUUACCUCUGGAGACCCUAAGUAA